UACGAAGGGGGCAAGCGUUGUUCGGAUUUACUGGGCGUAAAGCGCGUGUAGGCGGGGCGUUAAGUUGGGGGUGAAAUCCCGAGGCUCAACCUCGGAACUGCCUUCAAAACUGGCGACCUGGAGCAAGAUAGAGGCGAGUGGAAUUGCGAGUGUAGAGGUGAAAUUCGUAGAUAUUCGCAGGAACACCAGUGGCGAAGGCGACUCGCUGGAUCUUUGCUGACGCUGAGACGCGAAAGCGUGGGGGGCAAACAGG
rnacentral:rRNA from 1 species